rnacentral:rRNA from 1 species
ACCCGCUGAAUUUAAGCAUAUCAAUAAGCGGAGGAAAAGAAACCAACAGGGAUUGCCUCAGUAACGGCGAGUGAAGCGGCAACAGCUCAAAUUUGAAAUCUGGCCUCACGGUCCGAGUUGUAAUUUGUAGAGGAUGCUUUUGGCGAGGUGCUUUCCGAGUUCCCUGGAACGGGACGCCAUAGAGGGUGAGAGCCCCGUACGGUAAGACCACCGAGCCUCUGUAAAGCUCCUUCGACGAGUCGAGUAGUUUGGGAAUGCUGCUCUAAAUGGGAGGUGUACGUCUUCUAAAGCUAAAUACCGGCCAGAGACCGAUAGCGCACAAGUAGAGUGAUCGAAAGAUGAAAAGCACUUUGAAAAGAGGGUUAAAAAGUACGUGAAAUUGUUGAAAGGGAAGCAUUCAUGACCAGACUUGGGCUUGGUUGAACAUCCGGCGUUCUCGCCGGUGCACUCUGCCAGUCCAGGCCAGCAUCAGUUUGCCCCGGGGGACAAAGGCGGUGGGAAUGUGGCUCUCUUCGGGGAGUGUUAUAGCCCGCCGUGUAAUGCCCUGGGGUGGACUGAGGAACGCGCUUCGGCACGGAUGCUGGCGUAAUGGUCAUCAAUGACCCGUCUUGAACACGGACCAAG